UGAGUAACCUGCCCUUAGCUCUGGGAUAAGCCUGGGAAACUGGGUCUAAUACCGGAUAUGACUCCUCAUCGCAUGGUGGGGGGUGGAAAGCUUUAUUGUGGUUUUGGAUGGACUCGCGGCCUAUCAGCUUGUUGGUGAGGUAAUGGCUCACCAAGGCGACGACGGGUAGCCGGCCUGAGAGGGUGACCGGCCACACUGGGACUGAGACACGGCCCAGGCUCCUACGGGAGGCAG
rnacentral:rRNA from 1 species